rnacentral:misc_RNA from 1 species
CAGAGAAAAUGCCCUUUGGGGUGUAUCUCCCACCCUUUGUUUACAAUACCUUCGUUGCCUUGGCAGGCCCGUCUUUUGACCACUGGCUAUUUGCUGGUCAGUGCCUGCCAGAGGACCCUAUAACUCUAUUGUAAAUUUGUUGUCAGAGUACUAUGUAAUUUA